rnacentral:rRNA from 1 species
GACGAACGCUGGCGGCGUGCUUAACACAUGCAAGUCGAACGGAAAGGCCCUGCUUUUGUGGGGUGCUCGAUUGGCGAACGGGUGAGUAACACGUGAGUAACCUGCCCUUGACUUUGGGAUAACUUCAGGAAACUGGGGCUAAUACCGGAUAGGAGCUCCUGCUGCAUGGUGGGGGUUGGAAAGUUUCGGCGGUUGGGGAUGGACUCGCGGCUUAUCAGCUUGUUGGUGGGGUAGUGGCUUACCAAGGCUUUGACGGGUAGCCGGCCUGAGAGGGUGACCGGGCACAUUAGGACUGAGAUACGGACCAGACUCCUACGGGAGGCAGCAGUGGGGAAUAUUGCACAAUGGGAGGAAGCCUGAUGCAGCAACGCCGCGUGCGGGAUGACGGCCUUCGGGUUGUAAACAGCUUUCGCCUGUGACGAAGCGUGAGUGACGGUAAUGGGUAAAGAAGCACCGGCUAACUACGUG